rnacentral:rRNA from 1 species
GACGAACGCUGGCGGCGUGCCUAACACAUGCAAGUCGAACGAGGUCCAUCCUUCGGGAGAAGACCUAGUGGCGAACGGGUGAGUAACACGUGAAGAACCUGCCCCGAAGACCGGGAUAACCCUCCGAAAGGAGAGCUAAUACCGGAUACCCCCACCGAACCGCAUGGUUUGGUGAGGAAAUGGAUUCCGCUUCGGGAGGGCUUCGCGGCCUAUCAGCUAGUUGGUGGGUAACGGCCCACCAAGGCAUCGACGGGUAGCUGGUCUGAGAGGACGAUCAGCCACACUGGGACUGAGACACGGCCCAGACUCCUACGGGAGGCAGCAGUGGGGAAUCUUGCGCAAUGGGCGAAAGCCUGACGCAGCAACGCCGCGUGGGGGAUGAAGGCUCUCGGGUUGUAAACCCCUUUCAGCAGGGACGAAUCAAGACGGUACCUGCAGAAGAAGCCCCGGCUAACUACGUGCCAGCAGCCGCGGUAAU